AACGCGAAGAACCUUACCCAGGCUCGAACGGCAAUUGACAUCCGGUGAAAGCCGGCUCCCGCAAGGGCAAUUGUCGAGGUGCUGCAUGGCUGUCGUCAGCUCGUGUCGUGAGAUGUUGGGUUAAGUCCCGCAACGAGCGCAACCCUUGUUCGCUGUUGCCAUCAGGUUAAGCUGGGCACUCUGCGGAGACUGCCGGUGAUAAACCGGAGGAAGGUGGGGAUGACGUCAAGUCAGCAUGGCCUUUAUGUCUGGGGCUACACACGUGCUACAAUGGCCGGUACAAACCGUCGCGAUGCCGCAAGGUGGAGCUAAUCGGAGAAAACCGGUCUCAGUUCGGAUUGCAGGCUGCAACUCGCCUGCAUGAAGUUGGAAUCGCUAGUAAUCGCGGAUCAGCACGCCGCGGUGAAUACGUUCCCGGGCCUUGUACACACCGAUAGC
rnacentral:rRNA from 1 species